CUGAACCAGCCAAGUAGCGUGAAGGAUGAAGGGUCCUACGGAUUGUAAACUUCUUUUAUACGGGGAAUAAAGUUUCCUACGUGUAGGAUUUUGUAUGUACCGUAUGAAUAAGCAUCGGCUAACUCCGUGCCAGCAGCCGCGGUAAUACGGAGGAUCCGAGCGUUAUCCGGAUUUAUUGGGUUUAAAGGGAGCGCAGACGGGAGAUUAAGUCAGUUGUGAAAGUUUGCGG
rnacentral:rRNA from 1 species